UACGGAGGGGGCUAGCGUUGUUCGGAAUUACUGGGCGUAAAGCGCGCGUAGGCGGACCUGCAAGUCGGGGGUGAAAGCCCGAGGCUCAACCUCGGAACUGCCUUCGAUACUGCGGGUCUCGAGUCCGGGAGAGGUGAGUGGAAUUCCUAGUGUAGAGGUGAAAUACGUAGAGAUUGGGAAGAACACCAGUGGCGAAGGCGGCUAUCUGGACGGUUUCUGACACUAAGACUCGAAAGCGUGGGGAGCAAACAGG
rnacentral:rRNA from 1 species